CUGAGAAAGCUUCAAAGCAGCUCAAUAGUAAAAGAUAGCAGAGUUAAGCAACAGAAGUUUAGUAGCAAUUUUAUAAUACAGUUCAGUGAUUCUGGAGGCAAGGUAUCCAGACCAGUUCAAGGUAUGUGCUGCAGGAUGAAAGUUAUCUGGUACACUGACCAUGAUAGGUUAAACCCAAGACUGAACCUGAAUGGACAGCACAUCCUUGUUAAACCAGCAUGCAAUUUGGUAAUUAGGCUAUCCUAAACUACAAGAUGACACAAUUAUGUAUUAUUAUUCUCUCAACAAAAAUUGGAUUUUUUUUAACAACCAUCUUGUAUUUAAAGUGCAGGAUUUAUGUACAAAAUUACAGUUACAUUGGCCUCGGCAACCAGUCAGAGAACAAACUUGAGAGAACAGUAAAGAAACCAUGAGACUUGACAAUGAACAAACAGAGAACACAUGGGAGGAGAAGCACUGGAUCCUGUAUUAGCACCAGUAUCGGAUCCACAUCGCACACAAAGAUGCAGUACAGAUGUUUCCAAACAUAGGGACAGAUCACCUACUCUGGACAUACAUGUGGCUGUUAGUGGUAUAUUGACCUGGCUGUCCAUAGAGCCCCUCCGAUUCCCGCAUUUCAUCAUUCAUCUUCGCCAGCCGUAACCUGCCAGAUAAAGAACAGUGUAACCUGACACGCCCGAUGUCCUUGUUGCUGCAGAGUGGCCCAUACUAAAAGCGGCAUGUCCUUGCUGAGUGUUACCUGAG